rnacentral:lncRNA from 1 species
AUGGGCAGUAGACGAACAACUAGGAGGAGAGACAGAAUGGGAAGUAGACGAACAACUAGGAGGAGAGACAGAAUGGAAGUAGAUGAACAACUAGGAGGAGAGACAGAAUGGGAAGUAGACGAACAACUAGGAGGAGAGACAGAAUGGGAAGUAGAUGAACAACUAGGAGGAGAGACAGAAUGGAGGGUAGAGGAACAACUAGGAGGAGAGACAGAAUGGGAGUAGAUGAACAACUAGAAGAGAGACAGAAUGGGAGUAGAUGAACAACUAGAGGAGAGACAGAAUGGGAAGUAGACGAACAAAUAGGAGGAGAGACAGAAUGGGAAGUAGAUGAACAACUAGGAGAGAGACAGAAUCGAGGGUAGAGGAACAACUAGGAGGAGAGACAGAAUGGGAAGUAGAUGAACAACUAGGAAGAGAACAGAAUGGGAAGUAGACAAACAACUAGGAAGAGAGACAGAAUGGGAAGUAGAUGAACAACUAGGAGGAGAGACAGCAUGGGAAGUAGAUGAACAACUAGGAGGAGAGACAGAAUGGGAAGUAGACGAACAACUAGAGAGAGACAGAAUGGGAGGAUAGAUUGAACAACUAGGAGGAGAGACAGAAUGGGAAGUAGAUGAACACUAGGAGGAGAGAGAGAAUGGGAAGUAGAUGAACAACUAGGAGGAGAGACAAAUGGGAAGUAGAUGAACAACUAGGAGGAGAGACAUAAUGGGUAGUAUAGUGAACAACUAGGAAGAGAGACAGAAGGGGAAGUAGAUGAACGACUAUGAAGAGAGAAUGGGAAGUAUAUGAACAACUAGGAGAGAGACGAAGGGAAGUAGAUGAACAACUAGGAAGAGAGACAGAAUGGGAAGUAGACGAACAACUAGGAGGAGACAGAAUGGGAAGUAGAUGAACAACUAGGAGGAGAGACAGAAUGGGAAGUAGAUGAACAACUAGGAGGAGAGACAGAAUGGGAGGUAGAGGAACAACUAGGAAGAGAGACAGAAUGGGAAGUAGACGACAACUAGGAAGAGAGACAGAAUGGGAAGUAGCGAACAACUAGGAAGAGAGACAGAAUGGGAAGUAGAUAAGAACAAAUAGGAAGAGAGACAGAAUGGAGGGAGAGGAACAACUAGGAGAGACAAUGGAGGGUAGAGGACAACGAGAAGAGAGAGAAGGAGGUAGAGGAACAACUAGGAGGAGAGAGAAUGGAGGGUAGAGGAACAACUAGGAGAGACAAUGGAGGUAGAGGACAACUAGGAAGAAGACAAUGGAGGGUAGAGGAACAACUAGAAGGGAACGAAUGGAGGGUAGAGGAACAACUAGGAGAGAGGCAUAAUGGAGGGUAGAGGAACAACUAGGAGGGAGGCAUAAUGGAGGGAGGAACAACAGAGGAGCUAAUGGAGGGUAGAGGAACAACUAGGAGGAGAGAAAAUUGGGUAGAGGACCAACUAGGAGAGACAGAAUGGAGGGUAGAGGAAACACUAGGAGGAGAGAGAAUGGGGUAAGGAACAACUAGGAGAGACAGAAUGGAGGGUAAAGGAAAACUAGGAGAGACAGAAAUGGAGGGAGAGAAACAACUUUAGGAACAGACAGAAGGGGAGGGGGGGGGGGGUAGAGGACGAGAGACAACCAGGACUAUCAUUUUAAUAAAAGCCAAAGAUAGAAGACAACAGAACAACAUUUUACAACAGAAGAAGAGAAGAGGAGGGGGGCGGGUCUGAAAAGUGCCAUGAUAAAAGCAUGUUUCGGGGGGGGGGGGGGGUUGAAAGCUUGUUGUCGCUGCAGCUUAGCCCAACAUCUUUGUGGCACGCUGUUGGCCUCGUCAAUCCUGGUCUUGUUUGGAAUCAGCCUGAGGAGAGAGGGAGACGUUUGGGAUGAUGGAAUA